CGAAAGCCUGACGGAGCAAUACCGCGUGAGGGAAGAAGGCUCUUGGGUUGUAAACCUCUUUUCUCAGGGAAUAAAAAAUGAAGGUACCUGAGGAAUAAGCAUCGGCUAACUCCGUGCCAGCAGCCGCGGUAAUACGGAGGAUGCAAGCGUUAUCCGGAAUGAUUGGGCGUAAAGCGUCCGCAGGUGGUACAACAAGUCUAGUGUCAAAGACCGGGGCUCAACCCCGGAAAGGCGGUGGAAACUGUUGAACUAGAGGGUCGUAGGGGUAGAGGGAAUUCCCAGUGUAGCGGUGAAAUGCGUAGAGAUUGGGAAGAACAUCGGUGGCGAAGGCGCUCUACUGGACGGCAACUGACACUCAGGGACGAAAGCU
rnacentral:rRNA from 1 species